rnacentral:rRNA from 1 species
GAUGAACGCUGGCGGCGUGCCUAAUACAUGCAAGUCGAGCGAACGGACGAGGAGCUUGCUUCUCUGAUGUUAGCGGCGGACGGGUGAGUAACACGUGGAUAACCUACCUAUAAGACUGGGAUAACUUCGGGAAACCGGAGCUAAUACCGGAUAAUAUUUUGAACCGCAUGGUUCAAAAGUGAAAGACGGUCUUGCUGUCACUUAUAGAUGGAUCCGCGCUGCAUUAGCUAGUUGGUAAGGUAACGGCUUACCAAGGCAACGAUGCAUAGCCGACCUGAGAGGGUGAUCGGCCACACUGGAACUGAGACACGGUCCAGACUCCUACGGGAGGCAGCAGUAGGGAAUCUUCCGCAAUGGGCGAAAGCCUGACGGAGCAACGCCGCGUGAGUGAUGAAGGUCUUCGGAUCGUAAAACUCUGUUAUUAGGGAAGAACAUAUGUGUAAGUAACUGUGCACAUCUUGACGGUACCUAAUCAGAAAGCCACGGCUAACGACG